AUCUCAUCGCAUUGGUGUUUUAUCAUCUCAUAUCCACACGAGAGAGUGCCCUAUUUUGAGGACUACAUCAGAGUAAAUGACACACACUCCUCGGCCAUAGAGUAUUUGGACAAGAACUCAUCACAAAAUGAUGUUAUUUCUGAAAAUGCUAUAAAAACGCAUCAAAAGAAGAGAAGUGGAUUGCACACAGAAACGAGAAAUCUAGGAUAGUCUGCAAAAACCUAUUCACCCCA